GUUCAGAUCGAGACUUCUCGUUUUUUUCCGGCAGCGUGCUGUUUUCUCCUUUUCUCAAGAUGGAUGACGACCGGAGUGUACACAUAACAAUCCAGAAAGGAAGGGCCUUGCCCCAACUUCACAGAUGCACAUCAUGCUGCAAUAACUAGCACUGUCCAUUCUGCAGCCCUACAGUUUACUACCCCUCCCCGUUGAACAAAUGUCAGAUACACAUGGAUCUUCAUUUUAACAGAGCUGUUAGCCAUGAAGAAUACACCAUUCACAGAUGUGGACUGGGAUGUCGGCCGCAGCUGCAUUAUCACUGUCCAUACUGCAGUUCAACAAUAAAACGGAAAGACGAUUUUAUUAAACAUAUACAUUGGUGCAAGAAGAAACCAGGUUCCAACCCUACAGUCCCACCAACCACCAACACCCCCCUGUCACCAACCACCACCACCACCCCCCAGGCACCAUCCACCACCACCCCCCUGGCACCAACCACCACCAUCACCUCCCUGGUGUUGAUUGUGAUUUGUAUUGAGUGUUUUUUCAGCUGUUUUUUUUUCUCUGCAGAUCUCCUUAAUGUGGGAUGUGACUGCACCUGCACUGAAUAUAUAUUAUAUACUGUACAUUUCAUCAAGAUGAGACAAUUGUUUACCCCAAGUUAUAUUGUUAAAUAAAUGUUAUAUUGUUCUGUUUGGGAAUUUUGGACUUAAUACUACCAUACUUACCAUUUCAGUAUAUCAAAGUGUUUUUAUUUCUUUAUUUCUUUUUUUAACAAUUACUACAACAAAAGUGAGGACUUGACACCCAAAUACACUAUGUUGUAGUGGGUUUGAUCAAUGCUGUUCAAGUUUUGGGGGUAAUAUAUCCCACUAAACGCCACAU